GGGAGAAAAGAUAAGAAACGGAGAAAGGGAGAAGAAAAGGCUAGGUUUCAAGGGGAGAUUCACCAUUAUUGAAGGUUAAAGAAUCUAUUGCUAUGAACUCUAAGGUAAUGGUGUGGUUUUAAUUAUCUAAGGGUUAACAUGAUGAUGUUGGGUAGAUUAUGUCAUGUAGGUUUUGUGUUUUUCUUCUCUAUGUUCAUGAUCAUGGUGAUAUUUGUUAGUUGUUGAAUUAUGUGAAAGAUGAAUUGUUG
rnacentral:lncRNA from 1 species